AAGUCGUAACAAGGUUUCCGUAGGUGAACCUGCGGAAGGAUCAUUACUGAGUCCGGGUUCUUUUAGAGCCCAACUCCCAUCCGUGUCUACUGUUCCUUUGUUGCUUUGGCGGGACCACUGGGGCAUGCCCUGGUCGCCGGGGGGUUUUCUGAUCCCCGGGUCCGCGCCCGCCGAAGCGCCUAUGAACCCUAUUAUGAAGAGCCUGUCUGAGUGGGUUGGUUAAUUAUUAAAACUUUCAACAACGGAUCUCUUGGUUCCG
rnacentral:misc_RNA from 1 species